GGACGGUUAGCUCAGCGGUAGAGCGCUUCGUUUACAUCGAAGAUGUCGUAGGUUCAAAUCCUACACCGUCCA
rnacentral:tRNA from 1 species